CCACCCCCCACUCAUCCUAUAGAAAAGAAUUCUCUCUCCCCCUCCCCUUGCUAACAUAUGGGCUGCUGGGAAAAAGGCCCAGUAAAGGCAAAGGGAGGAAAACACUCAGCACAUUCUUUCUCCUGCUUUGAUCUCAAGUGUAACUGCAGCAAAGGGCACAGGAGUUGAGAAGAAAAUAUGGGGGGUAGGAGAGCAUGAGAGCAAAAUCUGGUGUAAAAAGGAAAAGGGUGCUUCCCUUACCCUACGCUUGAAUCUGCUGGGAGCUUUACUCCCAGACUGCAAAAACAGUGAGACAGAAGAGGAAGUAUACGUGGGGGUUUGGGGAGCAAUCACAGACAGAAUGGAGAUUUAAGGAUCCCUUGUGAUCCCCGAGAUGACCCUGAGAGCAUCAGUUGGGGGACUGGAUGAGAAGUCACAGCAGACGUGUGGAUUUUUUGAGGGGGUGAGGAGCCGGGAACAGUGAGGUCUUCACCGAAGGAGUGACCACUUGAUCUGUUCUUUGGCUGACUGCAGCACCUGCAGGGACAAGGGCGGCAGUGAGGGGCUUGCCUGGGGCAGGGCAAGGUCAGAGACCGGGGCUCUCCUUCCCCUCACUUGCCUUCCCUGUCCUUAGGAGAAUGGCAAAUACAAAAUCCCCAAGGGUAGAGGGAUGGGAAGAAGCUCUCUAAGGCCCUAGAGGGUUGUCAGUUUGGGAAAUUCCAAAAAAACUCAAAUCCACUGGGGGGAUGAAGAGAGAAGAGGUAUACCUGGGAGGAAAGAAAAAAACUGGGGGUUACUGGACAUAUGUUAGAAAGGAGGGGUUACCACAUCCAGAUGGACUUCUUGGUGAGAAUUCCAAAUAGAUAGAAAACAGAAUCCCUCCCUUGCCUCCCGCAUCAGGUAGGCAAUCUAUCCAUUAAGGAGCAGGAUGGAUCUGCAAACCUGCUUAUUCUAGGAUAUGCAUUUCCAGCUUAGCCUCAUUUGAAUAAUAAGAAAAGAGAGAGAGAGAGAGUGUGUGUGUGUGUGUGUGCACGCGCGCACGCACACAGACCAUCUGUUUAAGGCAAGCCUCUGCUGGGGAAUAAAUCACUGAAUGAGGCAUCAGGCAGGGAGGGUUUGAAGGGUACAGAGCAAGGCUGACAGCCACUGCUCACAGCAAAGUGGGAUAGGAGUUGGGUGGGCAGGGCGUGUUGGCUGGAUAAGGCCCAGUCCUCUGGAAUACUAGGGAGCCAAGAAAGAUGGAUCUUCAGUCUCUAGACUCAUUCAGACUUGGGCUGGGAUGGAAUGCUACUCCAGCCUCUUUAGUGGCCCCAUCCAUCCUGGAGAGGAAGAAAGGAGAAAGUCCUACCUGAGACACGGUCUGCUCCGUGAGGGGGACAUCUUCACCCUACGGCACAGAGAGACAAACAUUUAGCACGGGAGAAAGCUGGAGUAAGACCUGACCGGAGUCAGUAGUGGAGAAGGAAAAGGUGGUCCUUUCAACUGUAGCAGGAGGCAGAUGCCUGACUUCUGAGUCCCUUCUAGGUAGUAGAGCCACAGUUUUCUUGGCCAGAGGGACUGUGAGCAGGAAAGGGUCAUUUCAUCCAUCCUCUAAGGCAGGAGGACUUCUUAAAAGAUUUAUUCCAUUCCAAGUAAUCAGCAGGUUAUCUGAUCCUCAACUUGGGGGUGGGGGACCUGAUUCCCUAGUCAGAGAAGACCUUCCCUGAAUAUCAAUAUCACCAGGGAAAGGAUGAGGGGGAGCCAGGGGUAAUUUAAUGGAUCCCGCAAGGCCUGAUGGGUAACGACAGCAUGUUAAUUUGAAGAAAUAAACUGCUGCAACAGCAGCCUGAGAAGGGGAAGGCGGGAGUGGGGGGGACCCUCUCUCUUGCCACAUAGAGACAUAUGUUAGAGGAGAAGAUUAAACUAUGCAAAUGGAGCCCACGGCAGUUAAGGGAGAAGAUUUCCCAUUACCCGGCACUGUCAGCCUUCACUCUGUGGAGGUCAGAGCUGGGACAUUCCAUGAAUGGGGAGAUUUGCUUUGCUCAAACACCUCUGCACCCCAAAAUUUACUGGUGGGCUCUCCCUGUACCCACCAUUAUCUCCCCAGUGGACCUGGAGACGUCUGUGGUUAACUCAGAGGCCCCUUUUGGAGAUUACUACUACCAGGAGAGGACUGAGGUUCUGGCAAAUAAAUGCUUCCUGAGAGAGAGGUGCUGUCCUCACUUACAUAAGAGUUUAAGACAAGGAAGACACUCCUCUGCCUCACCUGACUGGGAUCCGUCCCUAAAGGGAGCAGAAGUCAACCUCAAGCUCCUUUAUAAUUUCAGAAGUAUUAAUAUCAAAGUUUCUUUUAUUCAUCAUUGAUUCACUUAAGGAUAUAUUAAAUGACCCUCUGUGCAAAGACUGUAAGGGACGCUAGGUAUCAGGUAAAGCGGCAAAAGAAUGCUGCUUCUGCUUCCUCUCUUUGAGACAAUGAGAAUUUGAAUGGGAAGAAGAAGGCCAUAUGGAUUCUAUAAGCCCUGACCUUCGUAGGCAUUUAGCAGGUCGGCCCUGGAGGGUGAGUAGAUGGGGGAAGAAGGGGAGCACACUCCUGCUUACCCUUAAUGCCACCCGGUGUACCACUUGCUGGGGAUCACUCUCUAGGAUCACCCUAAGAAGAUAAAGAAGAGACCAUCAUUCAUUCUGUCCUAUAAGACAAACUCAUUCACUGUAGGGAAACUCUGGUCACUCAGGCCACUCGCCUUAGGACAGAGGCAAUUACUCCAUCCCCUCACCCCAGAUCCAAGGCAGGUCAGAAAACUCACCCUCCAUCUACAAUUUCAUCCACGGCCAAGAAGAGCCCCUCCAUGUUCUCCAGCAGAGCUCGCUUUUCUACAUUUUUCCUGAGUCCCCAAGAGAAGAGAGAAAAACCAGCCUGUGUGUAAAAGGAACCCUAGGACAUUGUUGAGUUGGAGAUCCAAAACUAGACCUAUAAAAUGUCUCCACCAACCACACAGACUAAAAAGUAAAUAAGAACUUUUUGGCUUAUCCACUCUAAACCUCUUCUUACUCUUAGUUGCUAAUAAGUAAGGAUCAGGAAUGUCAACAAAGAGAUUCAAAGAAUAUAGGCAAUUUCUGACUAUUCAAGGGUUGAUUAUCCAGCUAGUUUCUUCCCUACCUACCGCGAUGCUGCUAGUGACACUGCUCGUAAACACUGACAUCACUGGGUGGAAAAAAGGAAAUAAACAGCUAAACUCAAUCUGGAGGUGGUGGGAGGGUGGAGAGGAGUUGAGUGCAAAGUCUAUUUGUACUUCAGCUCUGACAACCCUUCUAAGCCUCGCUCCACUCCCCCCGCCUCCCCCUCCCUCACCAGCUCUUCUCAGGCCUUGAAAAGAAGCCCAACUAGGGGGCUGGGAACAGUCAGGGCCCUCGUCCACCAGCCUUAGAUCCGGUGGUUGUGCAUGUGGCCAGUCACAUCCGUCAGUCUGACUCUUUCACUAGAUCACUGAAAUGAAGUCUAUUCAUUCACCUGGCUAAGAAAUAAAUCAUCCCCUUCCUGAGGAAAUCUGAGCCAUUCGCCCUGCUGAUUUUGUGGGGCUGAGAGCGCCUGCUGUUCUGCUCCGGAUGGCGGAUGGCUGUCUGUACUGGGUUCACUUGGGAGCUGCUAGGGGAAUGAAGUUCAGAGCCCUGGAUGUUUUCAGGAAAAGUAUCUUAUAUCUCCUCUGUUGCCCGUCUACAUGGGGAACAGGGCUGCUGGGGAGGUGGAAAGGGAGGGGAAGGUAAAUGGCAUAUUCUUCCUGUUUUAAAGAAGGGAAAAUCUAAGGGCUAAAGUUAAAAAUUGGGAGCGCUGCCUCCUUUCCCAGGGUACUGAUGUUACAUCUGGGACAUUCCCCUAUGCUUGCCCUUUCCCUACCCUCUAAUGAGGUCUAGGAAAGCACCAUAAGGGUGCUCAGGACUCUGACAGAGCCACUGGGUAACAUGAGAGUAGACAGACAUUGCUCCUCCCCGUCCCCGUUCUUAGGAGAAUUAUCCCACAGGAGGGACAUACUUUCCAUCCAGUCCUCCCCAUCAGUGCGAAUUACUCUGAAAUAAUAAGCCUCACUUCUCAAGAUGUCAAGAAUGGCCUGCUCACCUCAGCAUCUGGCUCAAUGAGUCAAAGAGGCAAUUCAGAACAGCCAUGAGCAUCAGCUGUUGGGAGACAGAAGAAGCAGAAGGAUAAGGUUCAAGGCCCUGAAAACUGCUACCUGAACACAAAACUCACUAAUUCAUUAAGCGUCAAAAGACACAGGCUUUCUUUCACAAAGGACCAAAAGCAUAAGGUGAAGACCGAGCAAAACAGAAGAGGGCCAGUGAGUUCUCACAGAAAUAAAUUCUGCUAUACGAUCCCACAA